AGAGUUUGAUCCUGGCUCAGAUUGAACGCUGGCGGCAUGCCUUACACAUGCAAGUCGAACGGCAGCACGGGAGCAAUCCUGGUGGCGAGUGGCGAACGGGUGAGUAAUACAUCGGAACGUGCCCAGUAGUGGGGGAUAGCCCGGCGAAAGCCGGAUUAAUACCGCAUACGACCUACGGGUGAAAGCGGGGGAUCGCAAGACCUCGCGCUAUCGGAGCGGCCGAUGUCAGAUUAGGUUGUUGGUGGGGUAAAGGCCUACCAAGCCGACGAUCUGUAGCUGGUCUGAGAGGACGACCAGCCACACUGGGGCUGAGACACGGUCCAGACUCCUACGGGAGGCAGCAGUGGGGAAUAUUGGACAAUGGGCGAAAGCCUGAUCCAGCCAUGCCGCGUGGAGGAUGAAGGUCUUCGGAUUGUAAACUCCUGUUGCUCGGGACGAAAAGCUACGACCUAAUACGUCGGAGUCUGACGGUACCGAGUGAGGAAGCCCCGGCUAACUCUGUGCCAGCAGCCGCGGUAAUUCA
rnacentral:rRNA from 1 species